GCUUGCUCCUUGAUUCAGCGGCGGACGGGUGAGUAAUGCCUAGGAAUCUGCCUGGUAGUGGGGGACAACGUUUCGAAAGGAACGCUAAUACCGCAUACGUCCUACGGGAGAAAGCAGGGGACCUUCGGGCCUUGCGCUAUCAGAUGAGCCUAGGUCGGAUUAGCUAGUUGGUGGGGUAAUGGCUCACCAAGGCGACGAUCCGUAACUGGUCUGAGAGGAUGAUCAGUCACACUGGAACUGAGACACGGUCCAGACUCCUACGGGAGGCAGCAGUGGGGAAUAUUGGACAAUGGGCGAAAGCCUGAUCCAGCCAUGCCGCGUGUGUGAAGAAGGUCUUCGGAUUGUAAAGCACUUUAAGUUGGGAGGAAGGGCAGUAAGCUAAUACCUUGCUGUUUUGACGUUACCGACAGAAUAAGCACCGGCUAACUCUGUGCCAGCAGCCGCGGUAAUACAGAGGGUGCAAGCGUUAAUCGGAAUUACUGGGCGUAAAGCGCGCGUAGGUGGUUUGUUAAGUUGGAUGUGAAAGCCCCGGGCUCAACCUGGGAACUGCAUCCAAAACUGGCAAGCUAGAGUACGGUAGAGGGUGGUGGAAUUUCCUGUGUAGCGGUGAAAUGCGUAGAUAUAGGAAGGAACACCAGUGGCGAAGGCGACCACCUGGACUGAUACUGACACUGAGGUGCGAAAGCGUGGGGAGCAAACAGGAUGAGAUACCCUGGUAGUCCACGCCGUAACGAUGUCAACUAGCCGUUGGAAUCCUUGAGAUUUUA
rnacentral:rRNA from 1 species